AAUCAACGCUGGCGGCGUGCCUAACACAUGCAAGUCGAACGCGAAAGCCCACAAGGGUAAGUAGAGUGGCGCACGGGUGAGUAACACGUGGACAACCUGCCUUCGAGUGGGGAAUAACCUUCCGAAAGGAGGGCUAAUACCGCAUAACACCUCGGGACACAAGUUCUGGGGUUGAAAAGAGCAAUUUGCUCGAAGAGGGGUCCGCGCCUGAUUAGCUAGUUGGUGAGGUAACGGCUCACCAAGGCUUCGAUCAGUAGCCGUCCUGAGAGGGAGCACGGCCACACUGGAACUGAGACACGGUCCAGACUCCUACGGGAGGCAGCAGUGGGGAAUUUUUGGCAAUGGGCGAAAGCCUGACCAGGCAACGCCGCGUGGGUGAUGAAGUAUCUUGGUACGUAAAACCCUUUCGGCAGGACGAAACUAAUGACGGUACUGCGGAAGAAGCCCCGGCUAACUCCGUGCCAGCCGUCGCCGUAAU
rnacentral:rRNA from 1 species